UGCAGGGCUCUGGGUGCGGAUCUUUGCAAUCUCGUUUCCUUCUUUUGCCUUUGGUCACUGUUGUGGACAAGUUGCGAGCUGAGGCGACCAAAACGCACCUCCCUAGCACACCCUCCCUGGACUGUCUAGACACCACUCCCACAGAGGAGGAACGGGCGAUUGGGAUGACUGACACUACAAACGCCAUCUUUCACGUGGGCGGAACUUGUCUCUGCUUGACGCGCCGCUGUUUCCUCGUGGGACUCCACAGGCACCUAAGCAUAACUGUCAUCUGAGAGACGUCCCCAGCAACUGAUGGAAAUAGAUGCAGAAACCCACAGCCAAACAUUAUGUGGAACUUGGGCAAUUCUAUGGAAGACGGGAAGGAAGAACUGAAGGAAACAAAGAAAUCAAGGACACCACAAGAAAACCUACAGAAGCUACUAACCUAGUCCCAUAGGGACUCACAAAGACUGAACCACGAAACAGAGAACAUGCAUGGUAUGGACCUAGGCCUUGUGCACAUAUGUUAAUAGUUGUGCAUUUUGGUCUUCAUGUGGUAUCCUUAACAACAGGAGCAGGGACUGUCUAUGACUCUGUUGGCCUUUGGAUUCCUUUCCCCUAACUGGGCUGCUUUGUCUAGCCACAAUAGGAGAAGAUGCGCCAAGUUCUACUGCAACUUGAUUUGCCAGUGGAGAUUGAUAUCCAUGGAAGGCCUCCCAUUUCUGAGGAGAAAGAUUAGACAGGAGAAUGAGUGGGUGUGGGGCUGUAGAAGACACCCUGGGGUGUUUGGCCAUGCCCCCAGAACCCAGAGACCUAACAUGAAGUCCCACUUCCAUUUAACCUGCAUGCUAGGUCACGUAAGGCACAGUUAGAGGGCGUGACUAACAGGCCUCUGCUUCGAGAUUUACAUAUUAAUGAAUUACCUAAAGGCCGGAGUGUAGAUAACUAAAUUUUCAUCUCCCUAGCCCCUCCUUUUUCCCCCCGCUCCCCAAUAUAAUUGAGCCCCUCCUGGGGUUUUGGGGGAGAGCACGUCAUUCCAGAUACAGCUAUUAUGGCCAAUAAAACUUCCAUGUCGUCAA